UGAGGUUCUGCUCACAUCUCCAUGUUUCCUCUCCAUUUGUUUGUGGCCCAUCUGUGUGAUAAGACAAUGAGAUUUUUGCCUGUAGUUUCUGAGAACUUUUAAAGCUUUUCUCAGUACUCUGAAUUGUCAGCAUGGUCUCUCCCACUGCUUAGUCUUGAGAGUGGUAAAAUAGAGAAGGUCCAGGAAGAGACAAAAAGAGAAAAUGUCAAACAGCCA